rnacentral:lncRNA from 15 species
GAUCAGUAUACCUGUAUCUUUAUGGAUGAUAUUGAUCAGAAUACACUGUAUCUUUAUUGAUUAUUGAUCAGUACACACUGUAUCUUUAUUGAUUAUUGAUCAGUACACACUGUAUCUUUAUGGAUGAUAUUGAUCAGUAUACACUGUAUCUUUAUUGAUUAUUGAUCAGUACACACUGUAUCUUUAUGGAUGUUAUUGAUCAGUAUUCACUGUAUCUUUAUGGAUGAUAUUGAUCAGUAUACACUGUAUCUGUAUGGAUGAUAUUGAUCAGUAUACACUGUAUCUUUAUGGAUGAUAUUGAUCAGUAUACACUGUAUCUUUAUGGACGAUAUUGAUCAGUAUACACUGUAUCUUUAUGGAUGAUAUUGAUCAGUAUACACUGUAUCUUUAUGGAUGAUAUUGAUCAGUGUACACUGUAUCUUUAUGGAUGAUAUUGAUCAGUAUACACUGUAUCUUUAUGGAUGAUAUUGAUCAGUAUACACUGUAUCUUUAUGGAUGAUAUUGAUCAGUAUACACUGUAUCUUUAUGGAUGAUAUUGAUCAGUAUACACUGUAUCUUUAUGGAUGAUAUUGAUCCUGUAUUGACAGUCAGACUGUGGACAUAUGACGGCCUUUAGCUCGUGUUUCUAGAGUUACGUGUUGUUACGAACACGUUAGGAAUUGUUAAAAUGUGAUAUUUCUUAAAGGGAGUUUGGUGCAGGGAGCUUUUAGUUGGAUUCAAACUGCUGAUAUGGAUCAUUGUUAACUGUAACUGCUAAAGUCUGAUAAGGUUGUCUGAUGGUAUUAGUUUAUUGAUUAAUGCUUUAAUAAUGGGAGUAUUGAUUACUGACGCUGGCUGAAGUCUUUCUCUCCGCUCUGGCUCUCAGCUCCAGGUUCGGAGGUGAAGUACAUCCAGGUGGCAGCGGAGAGGAUCCAGACCCUCCUCUCCCUCCCGAGAAAAAUCUUCAUCAUCACCGUCCGGAGCCACUUCCUGUGCGACGAGAACAGCGUCCCCAUCAACCAGGAUCUCACACUGCUGGACCUUCAGUUCCCCAGCUGAUGAACAUCCAGACCAGCUUCCUGUCAGAUUGUUGUAACAAAUGUUAUCCAAAGGCUGACGAGGAGCAGAGCGUAAUAGACAGGCCUACGAGAUAGUGGAGAUCGGAGUAACGGCUUAACCGCAGUUAAUGAGCCUAGAGGCAUAACGCACAGGAAGCACAACUGCCUGUGCUUAAUAUAAGGUUUCUCGUGCUCACGAGAAACGUUUCACUUUUUUGGGGCUCCAUAUGAAAGUCUACUACUAAAGGGAUAUAAACAAUGGAGGAACGGACACAGACUGUACAGAAUUUAUGAUCGCUUCAGAGUUUUUUCUGUCUCUGUUGUUUACAGCACCGGUGAAUCUGAAUGAACUAACACAAACAAUCUGUGUGUGGCUCACAAUCACUUCGUAUAUUUGACAGUAUUAUGUAAGUUACAUCUUCACUGUCUGAAAAUAUUUCUUUGUCAUAAUGUCUAGUGUCAUAGGGGGCUGUAAUAUAGUGGUCAGUGUGACGGUAGCCUCGAGAAAGAACUCUGAUAAACAUGUUUGUAUAUUUUCAACAACGAGCACGAGGUAACCAGUUGUUUUAGAUCAACCCCCAAAUACAUGUUACCUGGGUGCUGACGUAAUCAAUCAAUACAUGACUGGAAGCAGUGAGACAGAGUCACUCCAGUGGCUCAUGGACAAAAGCAAUACGUUGGGGAACUGUAUUGGUUUUGAUCCAGUGAGAUCGAAUCCAGCUUGAUGCUAUUUAAACUUAUAUUUUCUAGAAUGUAUUUUUUGUGUGUGUGGCUGUAAUGUAGGGCUCACUUAUACAUCUACUACUGUAGAUAUGAGACUUGAAAAU